AGAAGUUAAGAAAUUGUUUCUUAACUUUUAACUAAAAAAACUAAGAACCAGUUCUUAAAUCAUUUAAGAACCGGUUCUUAACUUUUUUAGUUAAAAAUUAAGAAACAGUUUCUUAACUUCC
rfam:Brassica napus, WGS project CCCW01000000 data, contig: 25637